ACGGAAGGCAGCAGUGGGGAAUAUUGCACAAUGGGGGAAACCCUGAUGCAGCGACGCCGCGUGAGUGAAGAAGUAUUUCGGUAUGUAAAGCUCUUUAAGCAGGGAAGAAAAUGACGGUACCUGCAGAAUAAGCCCCGGCUAACUACGUGCCAGCAGCCGCGGUAAUACGUAGGGGGCAAGCGUUAUCCGGAUUUACUGGGUGUAAAGGGAGCGUAGACGGCAAUGCAAGUCUGAAGUGAAAGCCCGCGGCUCAACUGCGGGACUGCUUUGGAAACUGUAUAGCUUGAGUGUCGGAGAGGUAAGUGGAAUUCCCAGUGUAGCGGUGAAAUGCGUAGAUAUUGGGAGGAACACCAGUGGCGAAGGCGGCUUACUGGACGAUAACUGACGUUGAGGCUCGAAAGCGUGGGGAGCAAACAGGAUUAGAUACCCUGGUA
rnacentral:rRNA from 1 species